CUUUUGUAAACACUUCCAUAAUUCCCAAGUUCAAGUCGCCUUCCAUGCCUCCUAGGAGAGUGAAGCAAAUACCAGACUCCGCACAGUCAAAACUUUGGUUGUCUCCAGCCAUACCAACGCGCGUGCGCGCGCGCGCACACACACACCCACACACACACGCACACACGCACGCCGAGGCCUGGAGCCCUAAUGAAAGGAAUCCUCAAUCACAGACUCUCGUCUAACUGAUGUGACCAAAGCCGAUGGAUCAUUACACCGGUUUCUGGGCCCUCGCCUGAUCUCUUACGUUCCUACAAACAAAAUCCAACAUUCAGGCAAUAGCAUAUGAGAGCGAGGAACCCAGAAGCCCAGGGAGCUUUCUAAACGGUGACUGUGGAGAGCAGCCAGGGAUGAAGAAUGGUGCCAAGUGCAGAAUCCUCGAGCUGCUCCCUGCAAGAGCAGAAACGCGUGCACAAAGUGUACUUCACAGGGGCAGAGCAUCUCGCCUACAAAGAUAGAGCACGGGCGGAUAAUAGUGGGGAUCAGGGAAUAGAAUGUUUCAGGAGCAUGUUCUCUGAAGAGAAAGCCAACGACUUUUGGAGAAGGAAGAAAGGAGAAUUAAGUAAGAAGUCCUACUACACAUAUUUAAAAUGUUUGUCUUAUAGUAAAUUAAUGGCUGAACUCUUAUUACUCCUACAGCAAGCUCGAUGC